rnacentral:rRNA from 1 species
GAUGAACGCUGGCGGCGUGCCUAAUACAUGCAAGUCGAGCGAACAGACGAGGAGCUUGCUCCUCUGACGUUAGCGGCGGACGGGUGAGUAACACGUGGAUAACCUACCUAUAAGACUGGGAUAACUUCGGGAAACCGGAGCUAAUACCGGAUAAUAUAUUGAACCGCAUGGUUCAAUAGUGAAAGACGGUUUUGCUGUCACUUAUAGAUGGAUCCGCGCCGCAUUAGCUAGUUGGUAAGGUAACGGCUUACCAAGGCGACGAUGCGUAGCCGACCUGAGAGGGUGAUCGGCCACACUGGAACUGAGACACGGUCCAGACUCCUACGGGAGGCAGCAGUAGGGAAUCUUCCGCAAUGGGCGAAAGCCUGACGGAGAAACGCCGAGUCAGUGAUGAAGGUCUUCGGAUCGUAAAACUCUGUUAUUAGGGAAGAACACAUGUGUAAGUAACUAUGCACGUCUUGACGGUACCUAAUCAGAAAGCCACGGCUAACUACGUG